CCUCGGGCGGCAGCAGUGGGGAAUAUUGGACAAUGGGCGAAAGCCUGAUCCAGCCAUGCCGCGUGUGUGAAGAAGGCCUUCGGGUUGUAAAGCACUUUCAGUGGGGAAGAAAGCCUUGGGGCUAAUACCCUCGAGGAAGGACAUCACCCACAGAAGAAGCACCGGCUAACUCCGUGCCAGCAGCCGCGGUAAUACGGAGGGUGCGAGCGUUAAUCGGAAUUACUGGGCGUAAAGCGCGCGUAGGCGGUCUGAUAAGCCGGUUGUGAAAGCCCCGGGCUCAACCUGGGAACGGCAUCCGGAACUGUCAGGCUAGAGUGCAGGAGAGGAAGGUAGAAUUCCCGGUGUAGCGGUGAAAUGCGUAGAGAUCGGGAGGAAUACCAGUGGCGAAGGCGGCCUUCUGGACUGACACUGACGCUGAGGUGCGAAAGCGUGGGUAGCAAACAGGAUUAGAUACCCGAGUAGUC
rnacentral:rRNA from 1 species